rnacentral:tRNA from 1 species
GCCUGGCUGGCUCAGUGGUGGAGCACGAGGCUACUGAUCUCAAAGUCAUGAGUUCAAGCCCAAUGUUGGGCA